GAUGAAGAACGUAGCGAAACGCGAUAGGUAAUGUGAAUUGCAGAAUCUAGUGAAUCAUCGAAUCUUUGAACGCACAUUGCGCCUUUUGGUAUUCCGGAAGGCAUGUCUGUUUGAGCGUGAGUGAAAAACAUCAAGCCAUUGGUUUGUAACUAUGGGCGUGCCCCCUGCGGUCUCGCCUUAAUGUGUAUUGGGCGCGGUUAGCACCGCUAGCGAAGUAGUAAUGCUAUUCUUUGCAAAAGUGCUGGUCUGCCCCACCAACCCCACCUAGUGUUUUCACCUCAGAUCAGACAAGGAUACCCGCUGAACUUAAGCAUAUCAAUAAGCGGAGGA
rnacentral:misc_RNA from 1 species